CCAUUCUCUAAUUGAUGAAUAUCCCCUCAAUUUCCAAUUCUUUGCCAUCUCAAAACAAGUUUCUAUAAAUAUUUUUGCACAUAUAGAUCCCUUUUCUUUUUUCUUUGAUCUCUUUGGGAUACAGGUCUAAUAGUGGUAUUGCUGAGUUGUUCGAGUCCAGUUUCUAAUCAAUUCUCCUGUCUACUUCCAUUUUAUAGGUGAGCUCAACCCAUUCCCAUUCACAGUUAUGAUUAUUGUAUAUUUCCCUCCAUCUCAUUUUCUUCCAUUUCUUCCUUUUUAUCUUGUCUCUUCUCAAAAGUCUAUUUUGCUUCUAACCACUGCCUCUCUUAAUCAUCCUUCCUUUUACCAUCCUCACCUUCCUAUUUGUCUUUUCUCACAUAUUAACACAUACUAACACAUAACCUACCGGAACAACCCGUAUAAGCUCCUGAGUUAUAGUCUUUGGUUGGGGUGACCUCGGAGCAUAAAAUAACCUCUGAAUGAAGAUUAACGAAUCUAAGUGUAACAAUACCAGUAAUUGACCCAUCUCUUGAUCAACGGAACAAGUUACCCCAGGGAUAACAGCGCAAUCCUAUUUGAGAUCCCAUAUCGAAAAUUAGGGUUUACGACCUCGAUGUUGGAUCAGGACACCCAAAUGGUGCAACCGCUAUUAAAGGUUCAUUUGUUCAACGAUUAAAGUUCUAUGUGAUCUGAAUUCAGACCGGAGAAAUCCAGGUCGGUUUCUAUCUGUAAAUUCAUUUCUCCCAGUACGAAAGGACAAGAGAAAUAGGGCCAAUGUCCCCAAUAAGCCCUAGAACCAACAUAUGAAUAAAUCUAAAUAUACUAAAUCAAUUUGUGUUUUCCUCCCCAAGAACAGGGUCUU
rnacentral:ncRNA from 1 species